AGCAAGAGUUGAACACAGGCUGCCAGAAUUCCACCCUUGUCUCAUUCCGAGAUUGUGUGCUGAGGGUUUUCAACUGCAUCUCUAAAGGGAAGGCCAAAGAAAGAGCAACAGGAAAGGAUGGUAAAAAGGGGGUAGAAAGGAAGAAGGAAGGGAAGAAAAAAGGGAAAACAGCAAGCUCUCUUUCCAGAGCCACACAUUUUUUUCUGUUUGCUCAGUGGCAGUCUGUUAAAGAAAUACUUCAUUGUCACUGAACACAGAGUCAUUAAAGGCACCUUGGAAAUUUGGACCCUUUUACUAGAAUCAGGGCUUAAAUAGCAACUUAAUUUAUGACACUUCUCGAGGCUGAUGGCGUUUUUGCUCUAAGACCUGCCUUGCAAGAAAUGUUAAAAGAAGUGCUUUAGAGAGCAGGGAAAUUCUAUAGGUCAGACACUUGGAUCUACAUAAAAAAAGGAAGAAACCAAAGGAGAAAUAAGUGAAGGGCACUGAAAUACUGGCCGUUUAUGGCUCCUGAAACUUGGGAUGGGAGGACCCAGAGAGCUCUUUUCACCAAGAGUGUGACCUCAGCAGCUUUCAUUCCUUCCUGGCCCCAGCUGGCUCUGGGCUGAGCCCGCUUCACCAGGGAGCACCAUGUGAAGAUGAGUCUCAACCUGGAGUCUGCCAUUUGUUUCCAGUCCUUCACUGCCAUUCCAAAGAGAGGAAUGACUGCCCGACCCUCCAUCUGGGGCAGACUCAGCCCAAAACAGAGGCUGUUGGCCCCUUUCCCCACCUCUCAGCUCCUUAGCACUUUGAAUCCAAUCCUACUCUUUGGAACUUAGCUGAUAAAUACAAGGCUGCCUUUUCCAAAAA
ensembl:lncRNA LINC01791 long intergenic non-protein coding RNA 1791